rnacentral:lncRNA from 1 species
UUUUUUUUUUGAUACCAACAAUGGUGGGUGGGGUGGAGGACGACCGGCAUAGCAACCUCCUUUGGACAUGAUCAUGAGGGCCCCUACCCUACUGAGUGAAUGUUCGAUGUUGGGAACAGAUGUAGGGAGUAGGGAGCGCGAAUCCAAGCCCCCACCCCACUUACUGCACGAAUCUCUUUCCCACCAUACAUGUGACCCCUAACCACCAUAUUAGGUGAGUACAUCAUCCUCAGCCCCACCUCAGCACAUAGAGGACUAGAUGCUGCAUCUUUCCACACCUGUACAGGCAUCAGGGAUAAAUCUCCUCAUUUAAUCGAUUUCCGUCGGCUCGAACUUGCGUCAUGAGGGGAAGAUGCCAAAACCUGUUCCACCCGAGCUACCG